rnacentral:rRNA from 1 species
GCAUAUCAAUAAGCGGAGGAAAAGAAACCAACAGGGAUUGCCCCAGUAACGGCGAGUGAAGCGGCAACAGCUCAAAUUUGAAAUCUGGCUCUCGGGCCCGAGUUGUAAUUUGUAGAGGAUGCUUUUGGUGAGGUGCCUUCCGAGUUCCCUGGAACGGGACGCCAUAGAGGGUGAGAGCCCCGUCUGGUUGGACGCCGAACCUCUGUAAAGCUCCUUCGACGAGUCGAGUAGUUUGGGAAUGCUGCUCUAAAUGGGAGGUAUAUGUCUUCUAAAGCUAAAUACCGGCCAGAGACCGAUAGCGCACAAGUAGAGUGAUCGAAAGAUGAAAAGAACUUUGAAAAGAGAGUUAAAAAGUACGUGAAAUUGUUGAAAGGGAAGCGCUUGUGACCAGACUUGGGCUUGGUUGAUCAUCCGGGGUUCUCCCCGGUGCACUCUUCCGGCCCAGGCCAGCAUCAGUUCGCCCUGGGGGACAAAGGCUUCGGGAACGUGGCUCUCUCCGGGGAGUGUUAUAGCCCGUUGCGUAAUACCCUGUGGCGGACUGAGGUUCGCGCAUUCGCAAGGAUGCUGGCGUAAUGGUCAUCAGUGACCCGUCUUGAAACACGGACCAAGGAGUCGUCUUCGUAUGCGAGUGUUCGGGUGUCAAACCCCUACGCGAAAUGAAAGUGAACGCAGGUGAGAGCUUCGGCGCAUCAUCGACCGAUCCUGAUGUUAUCGGAUGGAUUUGAGUAAGAGCAUACGGGGCCGGACCCGAAAGAAGGUGAACUAUGCCUGUGUAGGGUGAAGCCAGAGGAAACUCUGGUGGAGGCUCGCAGCGGUUCUGACGUGCAAAUCGAUCGUCAAACAUGGGCAUGGGGGCGAAAGACUAAUCGAACCUUCUAGUAGCUGGUUUCCGCCG